GGGGUUGUGGCUCAAUGGUUGAGCACUCGCCUAGCAUGUGUGAGGUACUAGGUUCAAUCCUCAGCCCCA
rnacentral:tRNA from 1 species